rnacentral:rRNA from 1 species
UACGGAGGGUGCAAGCGUUAUCCGGAUUCACUGGGUUUAAAGGGUGUGUAGGCGGUCUGUUAAGUCAGUGGUGAAAUCUCCGGGCUCAACCCGGAAACUGCCAUUGAUACUAUCAGUCUUGAAUCUUGUUGAGGUAGGCGGAAUAUAUCAUGUAGCGGUGAAAUGCUUAGAUAUGAUAUAGAACACCGAUUGCGAAGGCAGCUUACUAAACAAGCAUUGACGCUGAGGCACGAAAGCGUGGGGAUCAAACAGG